rnacentral:tRNA from 1 species
GUGGCGCCUCCAANNAGCUCAGUUGGUUAGAGUGCAGCGUUGACAUCGCUGAGGUCGCUGGUUCGAUUCCAGCACGCCGCACCA